GAGUAAUGUCUGGGAAACUGCCUGAUGGAGGGGGAUAACUACUGGAAACGGUGGCUAAUACCGCAUAACGUCGCAAGACCAAAGAGGGGGACCUUCGGGCCUCUUGCCAUCAGAUGUGCCCAGAUGGGAUUAGCUUGUUGGUGAGGUAACGGCUCACCAAGGCGACGAUCCCUAGCUGGUCUGAGAGGAUGACCAGCCACACUGGAACUGAGACACGGUCCAGACUCCUACGGGAGGCAGCAGUGGGGAAUAUUGCACAAUGGGCGCAAGCCUGAUGCAGCCAUGCCGCGUGUAUGAAGAAGGCCUUCGGGUUGUAAAGUACUUUCAGCGGGGAGGAAGGUGUUGUGGUUAAUAACCGCAGCAAUUGACGUUACCCGCAGAAGAAGCACCGGCUAACUCCGUGCCAGCAGCCGCGGUAAUACGGAGGGUGCAAGCGUUAAUCGGAAUUACUGGGCGUAAAGCGCACGCAGGCGGUCUGUCAAGUCGGAUGUGAAAUCCCCGGGCUCAACCUGGGAACUGCAUUCGAAACUGGCAGGCUUGAGUCUUGUAGAGGGGGGUAGAAUUCCAGGUGUAGCGGUGAAAUGCGUAGAGAUCUGGAGGAAUACCGGUGGCGAAGGCGGCCCCCUGGACAAAGACUGACGCUCAGGUGCGAAAGCGUGGGGAGCAAACAGGAUUAGAUACCCUGGUAGUCCACGCCGUAAACGAUGUCUACUUGGAGGUUGUGCCCUUGAGGCGUGGCUUCCGGAGCUAACGCGUUAAGUAGACCGCCUGGGGAGUACGGCCGCAAGGUUAAAACUCAAAUGAAUUGACGGGGGCCCGCACAAGCGGUGGAGCAUGUGGUUUAAUUCGAUGCAACGCGAAGAACCUUACCUGGUCUUGACAUCCACGGAAGGUCUCAGAGAUGAGACUGUGCCUUCGGGAGCCGUGAGACAGGUGCUGCAUGGCUGUCGUCAGCUCGUGUUGUGAAAUGUUGGGUUAAGUCCCGCAACGAGCGCAACCCUUAUCCUUUGUUGCCAGCGGUCCGG
rnacentral:rRNA from 1 species